CCUGAAAAGGGAUGGCGCUGAAGCGUCGCGCCUAUACUCGGCCGUCAGCGGCAAGUGGGGCGGCGAGCAGCGAUGUUCGUCGUCAUGAAGCCCUGACGAGUAGGAGGGUCGCGGCGGUGUGCGCAGAAGGGUCUGGGCGUGAGCCUGCCUGGAGCCGCCGUCGGUGCAGAUCUUGGUGGUAGUAGCAAAUACUCCAGCGAGGCCCUGGAGGACUGACGUGGAGAAGGGUUUCGUGUGAACAGCCGUUGCACACGAGUCAGUCGAUCCUAAGCCCUAGGAGAAAUCCUAUGUUGAUGACGGUGUAUCAUUCUAAAGUAUUUAACUAAAGUGCACACCCGUCGGGCGAAAGGGAAUCCGGUUCCUAUUCCGGAACCCGGCAGCGGAACCGCAUACAAUUCGGGCCCUCGAAAGAGUGUUCGUCGGGGUAACCCAAAGUGACCUGGAGACGCCGUCGGGAGAUCCGGGAAGAGUUUUCUUUUCUGUAUAAGCGUUCGAGUUCCCUGGAAACCUCUAGCAGGGAGA
rnacentral:rRNA from 1 species